rnacentral:rRNA from 1 species
CUGGCGGCGUGCCUAACACAUGCAAGUCGAACGGGGAUUUGUUUCGGCAGAAUCCUAGUGGCGAACGGGUGAGUAACGCGUAGGCAACCUGCCCUCCGGCCGGGGACAACACUCCGAAAGGGGUGCUAAUACCGGAUACGAAGUCUGUGCCGCAUGGUACGGAUUUGAAAGAUGGCCUCUAUUUAUAAGCUAUCGCCGGGGGAUGGGCCUGCGUCCGAUUAGCUGGUUGGUGGGUAACGGCCUACCAAGGCGACGAUCGGUAGCCGGUCUGAGAGGAUGAACGGCCACAUUGGGACUGAGACACGGCCCAGACUCCUACGGGAGGCAGCAGUGGGGAAUCUUCCGCAAUGGGCGCAAGCCUGACGGAGCAACGCCGUGUGAGUGAGGAAGUUCUUCGGAACGUAAAGCUCUGUUGUUCCUGACGAACCUCCCUUCUAUCAACAACGGAAGGGACUGACGGUAGGGAACGAGGAAGCCACGGCUAACUACGUGCCAGCAGCCGC